rnacentral:misc_RNA from 1 species
AUAUUGCUUCAAACUUGAUUAAGAUUUUCUCUGGUAUGGAAGUGAAAUGACUAUGACUAUCUCAUUAAUAUUGAGUAAUAAUUAUCACAUUGGAAAUUUCCUAGAUUAGGGAGUGUCAUCAUCACGAAUAACGCAACUUUAGAUGCUAGAUUGAUAAAGGAAAGCUAAUGGAAUUAUGAUCAAUCUACUCCUACCAUCAUCUCAACAAAUAGUCAUAUUCAUAUGGACAAUUCAUUUAUUAUUCACUCGUACAUACGCUCCUAAAACGAAUGAGAGAACACUUGGCAACUCAUGUCGUUACAAUGACGAAUGCGAUGGUGAUCAGUGGUGUCAUAACAAGAAGUGUGACUUGGCCUGUCACAGUGUGCAGUGUGGCACUGAGGCCAAGCCACCACAUAGCGUGUGUGUUGUCACCAACCAUGAGCCAAAAUGUGUUACCCCCGAUCAAUUGGAAAUAGUUGACCGUACCAAUCAUCGUAAUUGGCACCUUGUGAAUGAUAAGUCUUGCGGACAUGAGAACCAUAUGAGAGUUUUAGGUGGUCGUAAUGCAAAAUUGGGAGAAUUUCCUUGGAUGGCAUUGGUACUUAUCAUAUCUGAGUUCGACUCAGGUGAAAAAAUAAACUACUGUGGUGGAUCCAUAAUCAAUGACAGAUACGUUGUUACCGCGGCGCAUUGUGUUCGUAAAUCAGAACGGGACGGUGACAAUUUUAGAGUCAAAGUACGUCUUGGUGAAAAUGAUUUGAAGCGCGAUCCAGACUGUGAGAGCGAUUUGUCCAAGCAUGUAAAGGGAUUGUGCACUCCAGAGCCCGUCGAAUACGAUGCAAAUGAAAUACAAGUUCAUCCGGACUUCAGAGCCAAUCAAGGCACUGGAUCAAGCGUGGACCCAUGGGGUGAUCUGGCUCUAUUGCGCAGUGACAAGAAAUUCGAUUUUAGUGACUUCAUUCUUCCAAUUUGCUUGGAAUAUGGAGACCUACUCAGACAGGAUUACACUGGAGAAUUGGCACAAAUCAUCGGCUGGGGAGCCUGGGAUAAUAUCAGACACAACAGGACACGCCGUCAGUCGACCUACACAGGUCGCCUGCAGAAGGCACACGUCUUCGUGCUCGACCAUCUCACCUGCAACUUACUCCUCGUGGCGUUGGAAAUAAUCAAGCCGGAAGAGCCACCGGACCAGUUCCUAUGUGCCGGAAAUCAUGAGAUCCUCUCCUUCAUCGGCGACUCCGGAAGUCCACUGAGUGUUGUCAAGGCCGUUGAUGGCGAUAAGGCCCGCACUUAUCUGAUAGGUGUCACCUCCUACAAUUACAAUUUGCUCACUGAUACUGGAGGCUUGACUAGACCUACUGUUUAUAUCAGGGUUGCCGCUUAUUUGGAUUGGAUUUUGGACACAAUUCGUGAAUGAUUGCAACAUGGGAGUCACCUGAAAUGUCUCCAACAAAUCGUCUUUGAUCUAUAGUUAUACCCUGAUACCGUACUAAAUAGUAUAUUUCGCACCUAGAGCAGAAAAUGAGGCCCUAGGCCGAGGACUAGAGAAGAUUGAGAGCCGGAAAAAAAAUUUUUGCCCGUGGUGCGAACGCUAUUUUUCGCCACACACAAAAAUAAACAAUAUAUUAUAUAUGAGAAUAGUUGUUUACUAAGCACUUCCGAAAGCAGAAGUGGAAGGUGAUAGCUCUAGCAAAUCUGAGGUAAUCUGAAUAUGAGGAAAUUGUCCAGGUAUUUUUAUUUUUUAUUCUGAUUUGUCUAAAUAACCUGAAAGAUUAUGUUCAAUUAUGUGGGAGGUUGAGUUUAUACUUUUUUAUUCUUCCAAAUGACAAUAAGAUGAUAUUAUUAUAAAUGUUUUAAUUAUUGAAUAAUGAACACAACUAAUGAAAAGUUUUUUGAUCAACUGUUUUUUGAUCACCUUUCUUAGUUCCAUGUUAGCGGCUGGAAAGGGUACUCUUUCCGGCCUAGGCCGGAAAGAAACCUGUUCUGACGUCAGACGAGAGUCGUCUGCAAGCAAUCUCUUUCAGAUCUAAGUAGGGUCUGGAAAACAGCUGCUUUCUGUGCAGUGUGGCGAAAAAAGUAAUGGCUUUUGUUGGUGGGGAGUCCCUUGCGGGAAGGACCCACCGCCUGAAUAUAUAAUUUAAGCCGUCAAUGGGCCUUACGACUGCCAUACUUUAGCCUGGACCAACAGUUUAACGUAGCCAUCCGAUAACACGGGAGUGAUCUGGUUAAAAAACUGUAUUUGAUACCAUACUUAUUUGUGGGUAACAGGUACCUUGACACCUAUGUUCUCUCGUAUUCAAAAUAAUAUAAUAAAAGCCAUCAUAAGUAUACCAUUAUACCACCUAUUCAUAGGUAACAGAUAUACUCUGACACCUAUGUUGUCCGUAUUCAAAAUCAAAUUUUCAAAAAUGAUCCAAAAGCUAAUCUUCGAUCUAUCAAUAUAAAUAGGAGUCUCGCAUAUUGGUCAGUGUUUAGGAUAACUACUUUGAAGGAAUUGCAACAAAUGUCCACUACAGAUUCUCUUGUGGUAUAGGAUCAAAGGAUAUCGUUUCAGGUGACCUCAACAUUAUCUAUGACAGUGGUUGUUAUGAUAUGCAUGUAUUGUGUAUACAGUGUAUUAUAAUGAAAGGGUACUUAAUAACUUUCGUUGUGUUUCAUUAAUUUCAGUAGCCCUAUGUAUUAUAAUGACUGUUAUUGACGUUUUCAAUUGCCAUGUUAAUGUGCUUUGGAGAAAUAGAGACAUUCUUUGUUCGUAUUCUUCUAUUGUGCAUGCAUAGAUGGUUGUUGCUACACCAGUUAUAGUCCUAGUUUAGUUGAUUUUGUUUGUACAAUGUAUGCGGUUGGCCAAAUAAAUUAUUGAUUGCA